CUGUCAGUUCAUGUUCCUUAGGAAACAGCAGAAAGUAAAAUUAAUGAAAUUCAGUGAAUGCUUGCCAGAAAAUGUUUGCUUUAUAAUAAAAACACAGGCAUGCCAUGAAAAUACUUAGGAGGCAGAAAGCAUAUUGGAUACUUUUUAUAUCUUAGAGAACAUUAUGUAAUUUGUUCCUUAGAUGUCUUCAAGCUACGUUAAAAAAAAAAAUCAGACAUACCAAAUAAAAAUAAUGAAAAUGCCCUUCUCCGCCCUGUAAUACAGCCUGUAGGAUCCCAGGUUCUGACCCCGGUGAGGCCCUCAGUCUGGCAAGCAGCUCUAGGACUGGAAGCUGCAAGCUCCAGCUGCACCGAAGUUCUCUCCCUCUGCGCUGGAGCCCCCUCGCAGACUACAGCGAUCUGCGCAAGCCAAAUUUUUUUCUCUCUGUCUGGGAUCUGGCAAUGACCUCCUGCAACCUAACUGCUCUCCCAACCAGCCUUUCUCCAGGCUCUGUGUCGAUCUGGCAAAUGCUUCUAGCUGUAAGGAGAUGAAAAGAAGGUAAGGAAAAAUAAGGGGAAAAAAAAAAAGCAAGCUCUGCAGAUGAAAGUCUGAGGCAGUGUUUUCCUUUCCAAAGUGCUGCUACAUUCCCAUAAGCUUGUGGUUUCCUGCAUUCUGCUGGAAGGCUUUUUUUUUUUAAAUCCUGCUGGUGAUAUCUGAAGAGGGAAAAUGUCCAGCACUAACAGGAGGCCUUUUGUUCUAUUCGUUUCUAAGUGGACUUUAACCCAGUUACUACGGACUGAGUCACUGUAGAAACAAAUAACAUAAAAGUUCUCUGUUUCGUCCCCCUGGACAGGUCAGGGACGUGUUACGUUCUGUUCUUCCUCUCCUGCUUUCUGGAAGCAGUACUAGACCUGGCAUUACACUGCAAUAAUAAUGAACAUAGUUUAUGGUUGUUUUUUUUAUAUGUCCUGGCAACCCCUACAGAGUUGAUAAUGCAAUAGAGCCCGCAUUUCAUUAACAAAAUAAACGCAUGAGGGGCGUAUCUUUGGGUAAUGAGAUGAAAUUAUGCUGGAGAAAGGCUGGCUACCAGACACCAGCAAGAUGUGAGGAAGUGUGACACAUCUAGGUGCAUGUCUGAGCUAUUUUGGUACCUUCUCAAAUCUCUUAAUGACUCACAGCAAACAACUGCUUGUCUCUGAAUGUGACUGUAAGAUUCUCUUGCCAUCAGGCUGAAUUUUAGGCUGAAUAUGAAGGCUGAAUUUCAGUCAUACCUUGCAGUUCUGUUGGCUAUGACAAGUUAUAUCCUGUCACCAUAUACCCAUUUUAGGGUAAACUCUUUUAUUUAGAUAGAUCUAAAAAGAAUAAGCAUCCCAUGCAUACGCCUGAGGUUCCCUGGGCUUGCUGAUCUCUGCUCUACAAAGUGCACAGGAGGAUUGCUCCUCCUCUUUCACCCCUUCUCUCACCAGCCCACCUUCCCUGAAAAUCUUUUUAACUCUUUAGUGUUCCCUUAUCUCUGAGCUCUCAGCACUGGCAAAACAGCUUCCUGGUGUGGCCGGCAAGCACAGAAGGCGGCUAUGGGCUUGCUUUUCUCCCCCUUUUGUCCCCUCCCUAGAGCUGCCUACUUGAUUGCUUAUCUACAGCCAUUGUGUUGGUUUCCCACAGACCUCCUCCUAGUCUUGGGUACUCCAACUAAUUUUUGAAGUGGGCAAGUUUUUUACUGGGAAUAGGCUAGUAGUAGGUAGGCCAGAAAUAUGCUUUUCAGCUGGGCAAUGGGCACACAUGCAAAGUUAAGACAGCAACAGACAGCGACACUUAGCAGAGAGGACUUUGUACAACAACAUGACCUCACUAUGCUGCAUGGAGAACUAAACACAGCAAAGCCAAGACACUUCCAGGCCAUGGCUGUGAGUCAGCAGGAGUUUCGCAUGUGGCUGGUAUUGCGCUGGGCAUGGGAGGGCAGAGAGCGCAGAGCCAGGACCAUCCCAAUGCCAGGGCUGGUGUGCAGUGUCAGCACUGCGCGCAGCACUGUGCCAGGCCUCCUGCUGCCCCCCCUUCCCUCUCCCAUUUCCCAGCAAGCUUGUCAUCCUUCAGCAUUCCCGGGAUUACAUGCCUGGCACAAAUGGCACGUGUUCCCACACCUGCUCUGAGCUGUGCAGAAAGGCUGUCCUAGCUGCUGAGGUUUGCUGGAGGACAGAAGCACUUUGGCUGUGGCUCCUUUCUCCUGGUUUGAUUUCUUGUGACAGUCUUGCCAUUCUGGGCUGAAACAGCCCAGAAACUGUUGGUUGACUCCUUUUGCUCUGCCAGAACCGCUAAGAGUAAAGGGCUUGCAUAGCGAAUGAAAAGUGAAUACGAACGGUUACCUUAUUGACUUCUUAACACUCUGUAUUCUGUCUGUAGGAGCCUGUCAGUCUACACAACCUGCAGCAUGGGUGAUGAAAAAACAAGUCAAGUGGUCAGCAAGGGCUCCGUUACCUUGGUGCUACUUAGCAUCAUUUUUCUUACCUAACUUUUCCUUUGGUUUAUUCUGCAACAGCCACAAGAGACCAAAAUAUGGUCCAGGUUUAGCAUAAUUUGGGAGCAUAGAUGGCUGAAUUACCCCUUUCUUAUUAUAGUAGCAGCAAGGACACAAAGACAACCUGUUCUUUUACCUUGUCCCUUGCUACUACAGUAUCAGGGAUUCACUGGGAUGGUCCUCACAUCACUUGGGCCGAUGGAAAAGAUGCAAAAGAAAUUCCAUCCCAACUAGGGAUCUGGAUGGGUUUCAGAGGCUCUCAAAGGCAAGUAAAGAAGCAAAACAUUCUGAAGUUCAGAUGGCAGAUUCUUUGGGACAGUUUCCAAGCAAAUGUAUGUUCAUUUCUUGGCUGAAUACAACUUUAAACAGAAAUUAGAACAGUGCACAUGGGGAGAAAUCUGUGACCAGCAGAAGCAAAACAUCUGUUUUUUUACCAGAGACAACUGAACUCCAGAUGUUGUCAACAUCACAUAAUUCUAGAAGUGCCAAUCUCUUUGCGGGUUGCCCUGAGAAAGGUCAUGUCACUGAACUUAUGGUGACUGAAUGGCUUUUGUACUGGAAAAUCCAAUCCCAGAUGUGCAGUGCAUGCUGGAGUUUGAUGCAAUUUGUUUUGCUAUCAGAUUAGUCACUGGUGAAAACGAGAUCUCAAGGAGAUAUCCCGCUUUAUGAGAGCAAGCUGGUCUCAUAGAUCCUGCCUGAGUUGUACUUGUGUUCAUUCCUCUUGAAACCCGUUGAACACAUUUGCUGCUACAGGAUGCUGCCCCAAGCUGUCAGUAAGGUAAUCAAGCACGUCUACCUCAGCCUGGUCAGUUUAUAGGAAUGGCACUCAUCAAUGUAGAUAUAGUUUACAAAUCAGAAUCAACGCCGACACUGACUUUACAUUCCUCUGAAGGACAUCAAGCUACUGAGAGAAGCCCUAACCUAAAUUCAUGCUGGAGCAUUCCUUGCCAGCAACCACGUAGACAGAAGGGAAACAUGUGAACCUCCUUUCAGUACAGAGUUCUUUCUCAGUUUGGGGUAGUAGGAACUGGGCUUCUUGGUUCCAAUAUCAGUUCUUUUGCCUCUUAACCUUUGAGUCCCUGACACCAGUAAAAUGCUGACCAUCAAUUUUAGAAGCACUAUAACCCUCAGGGCACGUGUCAUCUCUUUCCCUUCUCCAUUUCACACACAAACCCUGUAGGUCAUGUUUGUGCAUGUGACAGGGGGAGGGGAAACAUGACACAUGAUCUGAGGGUUACAGUGGGACUACGUGCAUCUGCUUUGGGACAUGAUGGUAUGGCACAAACAAAUGCAGUGUGUUUGUGUGACAUGGAGGCACAUGACUGUGCAUACCACCGGGGAGCUCUGUGGAGAUGUCAGUGGAACUAAUUUUCUUUCCUAAAAGUUGUUCUCCUUCCCAGAUUCUUUUUUUUGUUUGUUUUUUUUUUUUUUUUUUUUGUUUGUUUGUUUUUUUGCGAGGGGGUCACAACAUUACUAUUACUUUGCAACAUAAAAAGAUUCUCAGUGAAAUCUGGCUUUUUUGGCACUGUAGCUACUAGGAAAGCUUAAGAAUUUUCCGCAUAUCAUCUGAUGCGGAAUCAAAAUGUGUAGCAGCAAUACAUAGUGCAUAUUAUAUACUAAAUUGAUUAGAAAAUGGGUUUAAGCAAGAAUAAAUAUAACUUACAUCCAUUUGCCAUUCAAGAAGGGAUGGACAAAAGAGUCUGUCACUUAAUUCAGUAGGGUGAUCAGUGAGGCUGCCCGGAACGUACUUGUUUACAAAAGGGCACAGUAUGGCUUUAGAACUUGUUGGAGUGACGCAGGCUUAAAUAUGAGUGCGCAUAUGAAUUGUUCUAUUUUGUAACUUGUAAGUUGAUCUUUCUGAUAUAUUCCACCCUCCAGUGACCUUUUGCUCAGAAAUUAACCUAAUCCACACACAAACUGAGCUUCCCUGCUUCAUCGCUAUUACCAACAGAUGUUUUCCGCCUAUUUGCACCUAGUGCAAAGCUUCAGUUACCCUUUUUAUUUUUAUAACUACCAAAGUAAAUUUAUGAUGAGUUUUACUAGUUGCUUACACCAGACUGUACUGCCUACAUUUAGUAUAUGGUAUGAUCAGGUAUGAAGUUUAAAAACAUUUUGCAUCAACAAACAAAUGAUAAAAAAACUCCAAAAAGCAAUUUGAGCAGAGGACUAAAUUUCUGCUAAGACCUUUGACAGUAGAUGCAUUGGCUUCCAGCUGAUCAGACAGACUUUCAGGUCCUUGCUGGCUUUAUUCUCAAGUGAUCUGAAGGCAUUUGGAUAGUGCAUUUUAAACCAAUUGGUUGUUUUCUCAGAGUCUACAUAGGGGUCGGGGAGAAAGGGGAGUAUCUUUCUUGCUAAUGUUAGCCAGACAAUGGCAGCUUAACUGUAAAGCCCCCUAAAAGAGAAUAAGCCUAUUGUGUCCCCAGUGUGUUUCCCACAUUUCAAAGGCCACUAAGUAGCACCAACGUCUUUGCCUCUGGGUUACUGAGAAUAUAGACUCUUAUGCUUAUUAAAUGAUGGCUUUCCCUAAUGAUUUGAAACAAAAAAGGCACACACAUACAAAGCCAGAGAUGUGCACAUUUUAGGCUUCUCCUGCCACAAGGUCAAACACAUGAAAAGACACAACAAAAAGUUUGGCCCCAAGAUCCCAGAGCAGACCCACUUGCCCACCUCUCCCACACUGGCCCUUACUCCUUUUUCUGCUGCGAGAGCCCCCCGAUUCCUGCACAAUUAAGUGCGGCACCAAUGGCAUUUCUGCUGCCUCUCCUUCCACUUGGCUUCACUGCUGAGAAAGGAGCUUGUUUGGCGGGAGGCGGGCGCUGCUGCCUGAAUAGUCUCUGAAGCAUUCAUUAUCUCCCGCCUAAUUACAUGGCCAGCAUAGCGGUGGUGUUGUGGGAACAUUGCAUCACAUUAAUCAGCAAGGGGAUGUGCCAAGAUGAAAGGGUCCCCUUGUGUCUGCUCUCUGCUGUGGAAAAUGGGCAGGAGGGUGGGGGAAGGAGCGGGGUAUUUAUCAUGGCGAGGGAGGGAAGGCACAGCGGGUGCACCUGAGCUCAGCCUGGCCCUGCCGCCAUCUUCCCAGCAAAUAAAUACACUUUGUGUUCACGCAUGGUGAUGGACUGAGAGCUCCCGAGUCUGAAAUCCUGUACCACAGCCGAGGUAUGAGCAUGGGUGGCAAGGUUGCACGCCACCUGGUUGCUCCUGGGAUCUAAUCCCCCAUAGCCUGUCCUGCCCUCGGCACUUUUGGAGCAGAAAUGGGGCCACCUGUCUGAACAAGCUGGGAAUCAGCUGCAAGCUGGCCACAGGGCUUCACAGAGAAUCACUGUCCCUCAAAACACCCUCCAAAUACACCCUCCUUCAACAGUCAAAUGUUAAACAGUAGCUGUGAAGGGCCUCCUGGAUUGAAGUCAAGUUAGUAGCCAAAAGCAAAAGUUUCAUUUCCCAAAGCCUGCUGGUGAGAACCCCAGUUCACCCACACAGUAAAAUUUCUAAACGGACUCUUGAAAUCUGAGAAGAGAUCUCAUUUCCUCCUAUCUUUGUCCCACUUGCAGGGCAUUUGAAAGGCUUUGUAAGGCUUUGCAUAGAUGCUUCUCUGUGUGUUGGGGUUGGGGGGAGGGUUGAGGCAUCUACACUGUGGCUGUUUGGCACCCUGUAAAAUACUGGGUCAGACUGGAAUACCAAAUGACAGUCCUUGGCUGAGCCGCUUACUGCUGUGAGAUGCAAUAGCAGUGCUCUAUAGAGAUAAGGAAAAGUAAUGGAAAAACAAAGACACUACGAAUGGAGUUCUUUGCAUCAGUUACCCUUUCCCAUUCACAUUUGAUUCCAUCAAUUCAGGUCAUCCCUCUUUAAAAACCUGCAAGGACUGGCAGCAGCUCAUGCUCAGCUCUUGCCGUUUCACUUUCUGCAGGCCUUCUGCCCAUCACAGCUUUUCUGCACUUGAGCUGUGCUGCAGGUUGACUUCAAUCACUUUGAGUUAAAAGUUUCUUGCCUCCAAACCCCAUUGUUUCUGCAAUGCGUCUGGCUUAUUAACACAGGCUAGUAAAGCCACUUCAGAAGCAGAUUCACUGAGCUGCAGAUAAGUUUAUGCCACAAAGUAGGUGUGAAUGCCAGCUCUUCCUGCAGUGACUGUUGCAGAGUCCUCCCACUGGUAUGCCCAUGCUGUUUUGUGGACAACUGGGGCAGCCUGCUUAUCUGUGUGCCACCUGUUGUGCUGGAGUCACCCUGACCCAGUGCCACCUUUCUCCUCAAAUACUGUUGUGGAGUCAGGUGAUGUUAUUUGGGUUUCAGCACCCAGGGAGCAUUACUUAUGUGAUACCAGACAGUCCCCUACUAAGAGACUUGACUCCAUUGCCCUCUGGUGAGAGGAGUAUAUACAACAGGGACUACCGACCUUUUUUUUUUUUUUGAGGAAGAUCAAUUGGGAACUGCCUAGGUUACAAAUGGCAACCAAACUGAGGAAGGGCAAACUUACAGUUUAUCUUGUUGCAUAUAACAUAAAUUGAGUGUAUGGAGCAGGAGGGAGCAUUUGAUACAGCUCAGCUCCAGACAUCAUCUCUUCAUCCUGGGCUUUUAGUGCCUACAGUUUUUCUCUGGUUUACCUCUGAUUCUUGAUCUCGGACACAAGAAGAAAGAAUGUUCACUGUGAUACAGAGGAUGUUUAAGUCCAGCAUGGGGACUGCCUGGUCAAGCAGCUCUCUUCACCCCACUACCACAAUCCCUCUUUUGUUUUCACUCUUCUUCCAGUGCUAGAGAUCCACAGUAGCAAAAAGCAUCUCAGGUUAAUUUCCACAUUUGCCAGGCUUGAACAGAAUCCUUCCUCUGGCUUUUGGGCACACAUAUCCUUUGAAGAAACUAAUUAUGAGAGCUGUAUAUGCACUUCUGAGCUUCUCUCUCCUGCUCAGUCUUUGGUUGACCAUCCUGUCUUCAACACAGGCCCCUUGGUAGUUUAUUAACCUUUCCCUCACACCACCAGGGCAGUGGUGCUGUAGUCGUCUCCUUCUCAGUAGAGGCCCAGGAAUUCCACAAGAUGGAGAGCAUUUUGCUACGCCCACAUUUACUAAAGACUGGGAAAAGCUCAUGGGACUGGAAUCCCAAGCCAAAGACAAAGCACAGUUUUAUCCCCAGUGGUAUUAAGGUUACUAUCUGAACAAUAACUAGCUGUCCUUUUUGUCUCACAUUUGCCUUUCAAAAGUGAGAUACUAAACUUUGAUCACUUCAGGGUAUCCUGUGCUAAAACUGGGUGGUUUACAUUGGAGGAAAAAAGCUUGAGAUUUAACAUAGUGAAAACACUCUGGGCUCUAAUCUACCAGAUAGAUAAAAAGACAGAAGCAUGAGGAAGACAUCCUAUGGCAUGAUACAGGGGAGACAAUGACAGGAAAAUGUGUCAGACUUUAUAAUUACUGCUAAUGAGGUUAAUCUAAGGGCAACUAAUCCUGUGGGAGAACAUGGUAGCUCUGUGAUCAAGGUCUUCUCUGAAAUACAGGAGUCUUCUGCAGCCCUCGACUCCUAACACCUCUCCCCUUCUGGGACAUGCAGUGCAGAAAUGUCUCCUUUGCUCACCGAGCCACCCCAGGAGUGUGCAACCAGAUACCCCUGCCCCACAAAGGCUGUGGCUUAUCUGCUGGCAACCUGCACCCCACACAAAGAACAGGUUUCCCUCCUGCUUGUGCUAGCUCCUGGCCACAGAGGCACAAACUGGCAUGCAUGCCACGGUUUGUUUUGGAAAGUGCCUUUUCAGUUGUGUUUUACCACCACUGCCAGUUAUUUCAGGACUUGAACUUCAUUUUGGCCCGUGAGUCAAGGCACUGGAAGAAGCAAACGCAGGUGUGGCAAAUGAAGAACUCUAGGAAGAGGCCUGGAGUAAAACUCAGUUCAGUUGCCAUCUCCUUUUUUUCAUGUGCCCCUCUCACUGCCACAUUUACUGUGGCCAUGCAAGACACUCCUGCAGCAAAUUUUGUCUAGUAAACACUGUGCAAAUCAUAGUGUUUCUUCCAGUUUUGGGAAUGUAACUUUGAAACUUCCCCCCGCCACCCCCCGCCCCAAAACAGCAGAAAGGUGAUGGUACAAAAAAAAAAAAAAAAGGGAUUUUCUUAUUUUGGCACAAAAUAUCAAUUGUUUCUGAAGAGGAAAACCAACACUGCAAACAUUCCCUGUAUCAGCAGAGGGAAGGAGAAUGAGGCAAGCAGCUGCGCCACCCAAAGCUCUGCAGCACUGAAAUGGAAGCAUCUCCAAAGGUCCAAGUGCUGCUGAGGUACAUCUGCAAAGACCACAACAAGUCCAAAGCACAGAUAGUUCUGUUUCCUAGUUUCACCCCCACUCUUCAUGUGACAGCUUUCUUUAAAUUCCCACAGUACCUCUUUCUCACCUAGAAAUAUCAUUUUUGGCUUUUCUUUCUCCUUGUCUUCACCUCUGGUCUCCAAAGAGAACCUCUUUUCUCCCAUGCCUCUAUGCUUCUGUUAACCCUGCUUUACAUAUCCUGUUCCAAAAAAUAAAAUCAAACUUCAGCUGUGUGAAAAAAGGACUCAGGCUAUUUGACAGUAACUGCAGCAUUCGUGCCUAUCUCUCACCGGUGCCAAAGGUGAGAAGCAUUUUAGUAAUUCAAUAGAUAGAUAAGAUAGGGGAGGUUAUUUGAUUUGGUAUUUGGCUGUACCAUGUUUCUGAAAUACUGUGCAGCUAAAAAAAUGCUAAAGGUCACAUAAUAUGUUUUUUAGGUAAGUUAAAUAACUUCUUCUAAAGCGAUACGCUCAUUCCAGAUGCAAUUAUCAUAUUUUUAACACCUUACUGUAAGUCCCCCUUUAAAGGAAGCUCUUCUGCAACAGCUCAGUGGCUUUUUUUAAGUAAUUUCCCUCCCUCCACACCACCCCACUAACAUCAACAGGGCUCACAAGGAAAUCCCAACAGGCAGACUGUUAUUCAGACCAUUUCUGCAUUUCUAAGGCUCAUCGACCUUUCUUUUGUCAGAUAAAAGCUUCCCAUCUCUUUAAGCCCUUCAUUCUUGCAAUAGUCCCAAAGAAAAGUUGACAUCCUUGGCAAGGAGAGUGAAAAGCAGCUUGUCUGCCCUUCCCAAUAGGCCAGGCUGGGGUUGUUUUAGCCUGUUUAAAUCUCCCCCUAUUUAUAUGCUAAUGUUCUGGUAUCAGCAGAAAGUAUAAACAGUGUUGUUUACAGCUCCCUAUAGUCUGUGAGCACCAAGCUGCCAGGAGAAUACUGUGUACUGGGCAAAGAGAUGUAUUUAUUGACAAUAAAAAUGGCCACUUCUAAGACUACGAGAAACAAAACUGAACUGUAAAAAUGCAGCAUCAGCCAACAAUAUAACCAUACAAAACAGGACUGGCAAAAAGCCAUGAGCCAGAGGGUCAGUCAUGGGCCCUGGGGAGCUACAAGAUUUCAUAUUUAACAGGGAUGGAUCUGGGGAGACCUUCAGCACAGAGACCUCUGAGAAAAGAGAGCAUCAAGUUCCCUGGCAAGGCAGUUUACAUGCUCCAUUUGCUAUUAUUGCAGAUUUUUGUUAGUGGAUAAUGGCUCAUAACUUGGCUCGUAGCUCUCCUGGAUCCUGAAGUGAAUUAAACUCUCCUAAGAAAAACAGCAUGGUCUAAAGGAGCAAGCACAGGAAUUCUUGAGUUCAGAUCUUGUCUCUCCAUUUUGCUGUGUGGCUCUAUUCACUAGUAGAGCACAAGGCCUUAAAAAUAAGAGCAACAGCAAAACCAGGCAGCAGUGAGGAUGUACACCAAAGAUGUUUAUGCAAUGUCAGGCUCUCUGAAGACACCAGGGCACAGAGCUUGUGUCUUCUCUACAUCAGUUGACAAAAUAGUGACAACUGCAUUGACACUCCCUGUUCAAAACAAGAGAAAUACCUGCUCACAUCAGCAGUGUCUUAUCUUCCAGUAAAUAAAAACUAAAAAGCGUUAAAAGAAUCCCUGUCUACCAUAGCGCCUCUCACAAAUGCAAUUACUGACAAAAGAUGCUGGACUGGCUCACCUGGCAAUCCUUACAGUACGGUUUUCUACUGAUAGACAGAAAAAAGCUGAGACAAAGUUUGACUCACAUUCUCCUACUGCAUAUAUAUUUCAGCUUUCACCAAGUGAGCUUCACCACUCUACUUCCAGAAGGGAAAACACAAGGAACUUCAGUGGAGGCUGAACCCUCCUGUGAGUCCAGGUCACCCGGGCCGGCUGAGCCACAUCCAGUGCCCCGACCGACAAUACUGAACUCCUGGGGCUGGGUGACCAAUCCAGCUUGUCUCCUCAGUGAUCCAAAGCCACAUCGCACCCAGCAGGAACACUGUCUGUCUUGCUGGGCAGUAUCACACAAGGUGCCAAGAAAGGACUGAGUCUUAUCCCUCACAGUUCUGCAAAACCAGUGCAGAGGCACCUGGGUGGGAUAAUGUGAACUUGCUUGGCUGUUAAUGGAGAACUAAACAUAUACUGUAAAUAAAAGGAAGUCAUCUACUUGGCAACUUUAUAUCAGCACUAAAUUCAUGAAAGGGUAAAAUGCCAAGAGAACCACUUGCAAUGACAUUGUGCCUUGUCAGAGCAGCACAGUCACAAAAAGAGUUUGAGGUGGUGAACAAUGAGAGUAUUAUAUUGGCAAAGAUGUGCUUUUCUUCCAGUGGGAAUUCAGUUGCUAAGUGCAUCAAGAGGAUUUACAGCAACCCUUUGCUGUAAGAACUAGACAUAGGCCUGCAUGUAAAUCCCACAAUUGGCUGUGGCACACUGGCUAAGACUACUCUGUGUCCUUCUAGUAGUGUGUUCCCAAAGAAGGAAACAGCUAUUUCUACUACUACAGUAUGUCUGAAAUCAAGUAUUAAGUCUGGUGGUGCCAUGCCAAAUUUUCCAAUGCAGAAAGUUUCUCUGUCUCCUCAGUUAAAGUAAUCUGCAUUUGGUCUUGCACUACUUACUACUUACAUUGUCUUUUUAAGAAACUUAAUCUAGCCAGUUUUGAGCUUUGAAGUUUUGGUGUACAAUGAAAAGGGUUAAGUCUACUCAGACUGCACCAGGUGCCCUGCACGCAUUACACUGCUUAUUUUGUGGGAUUACAAGUGCUUAUCAACAGUGCAAAUAAACCAGCCCAGUUCAUUUAUUCCACUCAAGACCGUCUGAAACUCCUUCAUUUCUAAUAAUUGUCAGCUAAACCCCUAAGCCAGGCAGGGAUGAUGCUUGUUGGAGCUGUUUUGAGCUCUAGCAGCGGUUUCUAAAUCUCCUUCCAUUACUUAAUAUUAAUUACUUUUUGUUAAGCAGCACCAGUAACAGACAAAUAAAGGCAGCCUCAUAGUAAAGGGUUAACCUUUAAGCACAAGGCAUAUCAAUUAAGACCACAGUAUGAGCAGUGAGAGACCGUCUUGAAACUGAAGCCAGGAGCUGGGAUUCUGGUAUUUGUAUUUUUGGCAUCUGUAUCUGUAAGAGGAUAAAAAGGCAUAUGAGUGUUUUUAAGGGUAGGUGGGUGUUUUGGCCAAAGAGAAAGCUGACGCACCUAAAACUAUGAGAGAGAAUUGUAGAUGCACUUCUUGGAGAUGCAUCUACAGGAAUAUUAAUAAAGAAAAGGCUAGAAUGUAGUCUUACAUAAUUCAUUGCUGCUGGGACAUGGGCCGGGAGGGAAGAAUGGAAAAAACAGUCCAUAAAGAUGCCAAUAGUUUCUAAGCAGAAACAUCUGUUGAAGUUUUAAAACUGGCCAGGCCUGCAGCAAGCUCAGCAACAGGAAAGCCUGCAGUUGAUCACUCCUGCCCUCAUCAGCCCCACCAGCUCCCACCCCUGGGAUCUGCGCGGAGCUUGGAAGAUAACUGACACCAUGAAUCAAACACGGCUCCGUUCCUACAGGGGAAAAGGGGAGGAACAGAGAGCCAGGAUGGGUGUCCAGGGAAGACGAAUGAUGAUUUGGACUGGAAGUAUACAGGAAGAGUUACAAAAGAGUAAGGGAACAUGCAAAGGGAGACCCAGUGGCUUAUCCACUCUGUCCCAAGGGGGCUUGUACACUGAGUUUCCAUUGCCUUGUCCAGUCUAAUUUUAAGUGUCUCAAGCAAAAGGCCUUGCUCCCCUCGGGAGGCUAUUGCAAAAUCUCACAAAUCAUCUUUGCCUUUUACAUGACUGCUUCUUCCUUUGUGAUAGUUCAUUUGAUUUUCUUUGUUUUCUCUUGAUAUUCAACAGUGCCCUUAGACAUAUCAGUUCCAAACAGCAAUUUCUUCUUCCUGAAAGCAUUUGUUCCCCUCUGCUGUCUUCUCUCAAGGAGCUAUCUUAAAAAUAUCUGUGGAGGUUGUCUUUCGUUCAUCUCUGCAAGAUCUGCAUCUGCCAGCAGGAAGGGAGAACAGUUCUGUUGGAUCUUACAAGGAUCAAUAAAAGGGGAGCCUCAGCUGCUAUAUUACAAGAAAAACAUAAAUUAGCGCAAGUUCUUACAAAGCAGGAUUUGGAGCCUUCCUUCCCCCAUCUCCAAUCAUUUCAGAUGCCAAUUUUGAUUACUGGUCAUGUUAAAGCCUCUUGAAGUAUAUAAACCUUUAUCCACCAAGAAAGCCCAACUUCAGUCAAUGACAACGAAAAUUUUAACGGCUAGUCCUUGGGUGGAGAUUCCAUUUUUAUUUCAAACCCAAAACUCCAGCAGUGUGCAUUAUCCAUGGCAGUGGGCAGCAACCUAGCAGUGAAUUUCUGAGCUUAUAAAGGAUUCUAUUUUAGAGUUAGUGGUGACUGAAAUACUAUUAGAACUGUGUUUCAUUUCUCAAAAAAGGGUAAUAUUUGAGAGCCUGGGAUUUCAAAAAUAUUUAUCCUGCACUUUUGAAAAUCUAAGCAAAACCCUUCCCCUCCCUUAAACUAAUCGCUAACAUUUUCCAAGCAAGUUUUUCUAUAUAAAGUUAGACUGAAGGGUCAACAUAUGGCUUAGAUUGAAACUCUUGCUGUGAAAUUAUCCAUGCAGUCCACAACCAGCACCUCCAUAACAAUAACAGGAGUGAGCACAGUAGUGGUUAAAGUGAUCAGAUGUUCAAAAACAAACUCUGCAGUUUUCAGUAUUCAUCAGCUUUCAGAUUUUGACCUGCUCUAGGUCUGCACCCCAAAAUGGAACGUAGUGAUUUGCCUCCAGGCUCAAAUGCUGCCAGUCCUCAGCACUGAACAUCAAAGCAGGCUUGCUGCUCUAGUGGCUCUCUUCCAAACUGCCUGGCUCUCUGCUCUUCUUCUCCACCUUUUGCCUUUUUUUUUUUUCAUUAAAUUAGCAGCUUUGAACAAGAAACUAUGGCACUGUCUGAAGCUCCAAUGAUUCAUUUAUCAGUCUUUCUAAGAUCUUCUCCACCCUCAUACUUGCUUUCUGGCUAUCUUUAUAAACACUGUAUCAGAGGAGGACUUCUUGAAAGUGAACUUGCGGAGCCAGUCAUCCUUACUUAAUGUUGACAGUGGUACAAAUAACAUCAUUACCAGAAGUAGUGGUACUAGAUGCAGCUCAAAGCGACUGACCAAAAGGUCUUAUCAGUCGCUUGGUUUUCCUUUCAGGUGUGGGGCAAAGUUUUCACAUUGCAUGUGAGGCACCAGAUGACUUCAAAGACUGAGAAACACAAAAAGGCUUAGGAAGCUUCUUGCAUCCCGCUAUUCCUCCUGCAGAUUUCUAACCAGUCUCAACCAGCUGCCUACAUCCAAUCUGGGCUCAUGAAGCCCCAGUUCCCUGCAGGUCCUCUGGCAGCACACAAGAAGGGAAUGGUCUCCAACAAUGCAGGAGUAAAGGGAACUUUUAACUCAAUGUUAAGCCUCUUAAAAUUGAACCGAGGUUCCUCUGAGAUUUUAUUAAAUCUGCCAGCCUGUGAAAUACUGCCCAGUGGAUCAAAGACACAAUGCACCCUUUCUUAGCUUAUGUUGAGCUCUUCAUGGAUCUCCAAAGGGCAGUAGGGCUCUAAUGUCUCGUUAGGUCAGUCACUAAAUACAAGGAACCCAAAAACUCACCAGAGACCAAGAGUCAGGAUGGGACUCUGCCAUCCCUUCAGGAGCACGACGUCUGACCCUUUUAAUUCAUCUUCACUCCCUUCUCCCCCCAGUACACUGAGAACCACUCACUGUUGCAGAUGUAUAAAACCCUGCCAUGACAACUACUAAAAAGGGCAGCUCCAUGCUGGCAUUGAUCCUGCCUUCAUCUCACUGCAUUCAUUGUCUAGGAGAACAGAGGCUGGAUUAGAAGGGGGUUUAGAGUGCAACCAGGCAGUAAGAUUAAUAACUGCUCUUAGCUUCAUUCAUGAUCAAUUGAGUGUGUGUGAAUCUGCAGAGGACCUUCUUCAAACAACCAGUAGGGAUGGUAGUGGCAGUCAUGGAAUCAGAAAUCCAGCAAAGCAAAUUUCUGCUACAGAGCAUUUCUUAUAGGGGAAAAACAGAACGUUUUGCUGUCUCUUGACCAGCAAAUACCACUCUGCUUGCAUAGAUCUGCUAGUAUUUACUCCCAAAUCUGUUAUGCACCCUAUCUUACUCCCUUAUAAGUCCACGGACUCCAGUGGGCACGCAGGCAAGCCUUAUAUGAAGCAAAGUUUGCUAUCAGAAAUGCUUUCAGUUGCACACUUGAAAUGUGUCAGCUACAUUUUAAACAAAUCAAACACCUUGAAGCCUACAGCAUAAUAUGUUUCACCAGAUUUAUCCCAACUUUGUCUCCUGCAAGUAAUACAGAUAAAUCACAGGGUCUGUCUCCUUUUUCCUGGAGGGGUUAGCACUUCCUUUAUGAAUUCUUGUGUAUGUGAAUACAAGAUACAGCAUGCACAGAGAUGACCACCAAAUGGGUUUCCUAUGAACCCUCAUGUUGCUAAGACCUGACUGCUCAGAAUUUGGCAGCUGCUAGUGUAAAAGUGAAAAAUCCAGUGGUAUGCGAAUGAAAACUGGCCAUGUUCUACAUUCAUCACCUAAUUCUCUUAAUAUCACAAACCAAAGUAUUUUUGUAGCACUUUGACUGGUUGCUUACAAAGGCAUGCAGCACAAAGAGUGACCCCAGUGUGCGUGCAUAUGCAAGACUUUUGGGGCACUGCUCUCAUGGGAGCAAAGCCAUGUAGGAAAGGCACAUGCUGGGUUUUGAUUUCAGAAUAUAGAACAUAAAAUAAUAUUUCCAGAGAUGCUCCUAUUUUGCAUUUGUCCAUCACUUUUUAUUCUAGAAAACAUCCAAGAAAAGAAGACCAAGCUAGGCAAACGAAUGCCUAUAUCCAUAACUGAAAUGGAGCCAGAAGCAGCAGUUGGCCACCCAAGACAGUACUACACAGCAGCUUAGGAAAAAGGUGGAAAAAACAUUUCCCUUUAUAAUGGUCAACAAUACCUUGCAGGCAUGUCUGUGCAGCCAUGGAAUGCCUGGAGCCAGGCUUGAAAAACGUGGAACCCUCCAGGAAUUUUGCUUGGUCUGACAAAGGACAAGAGGAAGGGCAUGUGGUUGAUUUGCCCUUACCACUCUCCCUAACACGUCCUGUAACGUGUCCUGCAGGACCAAAAUUCUUGCAUCAAAUAAUGGAGCGUUACCUGAAUAGUCAUCCCACAGUCUGCGCACAGCAGUUGGCUGUAUUCCCAAGCAUUUAGAAAUUGGCCAUCCCUAUUUAAUUGAAACAGCAGGAGAAUUUAUGGAAGCAAAAUUGAAUUCCCCUAACUGAUAAUUGAAAGAUUAACUUCUGGAGGGAAUGCCUUGAGAUUUUUAAUGACCACACACGAUCAGGACCUUGGUUUAAUAUCCCAUCUAUCCAUGUAGUACUGACUAAAACAGUGCUGAUGGUAGAAAAAAGGAGAAAAGGAACAAAAAGAACAUAUAGGCCUCUGACAUCUGAAAUACGGUGUAAAGAGACCACUGCAGCAGACCCACAAAGUCUGGCUGCCCGAAGAAUUUGUUAUUGAUCAAGAAUUCAUACUGGCAUCAGUGAGAAAGAGUCCAGGAAAAACAGAGCUGCUCCAUCACGUUUUAAAACAAAACAAAACAAAAAAAUCCCACAAAAACCCCCACAGGCUCUUCUUUUCAUUAAGCCAAGUGCCAGUGGCUUCUGCAGACCUCAACCAAGAUUGUUAAUAGUUGAACUUGGACUACCUUUAUGGGACCACCAUAUGAGACUCAUAUUCACUCUUCACAGUAAUUUUAAAUUCUGUUUCCAAUCCAUGCUAACCUCUUACCUCCCCAAAAGCGUUCAUGAAAAAUACACAUUGGCAUUAAAGAGAGACUAUAGCCCUUCACAUCCAAUGUGAUCCACUGGGGCAGGGGAUGGGUGAAUCUCCAGUGGUGGUGCAGCAAGGCAGCGCUGCUGCAGGCUCCCAAGCCCAACCUCGAGGCCCAAGGCAACUCAGCAACUUCGAAGUGUUUCUUUUUCAUGACAAGGCUAAAUGACUUGAUUGGAUUAUUUUGAAUUAGACCUUCUUCAAUGCUGCCUCUUUGGCAGUUUUAGCAAAGAACUGACCACGGAAAUAUCCUUUUUUGUUGAUAUGAAAGGACUUUGCUUUAGGAUUGAGGCACACCAGCCAGAGCAAUAAGGAGAAUAUGGAACAAACUGCAAACACCAGUCUUCAAGGCUGUCACACCAACAUUAAAUUCACUUAAAAAACAGUUGAGAGAGACAGAUGGUAAGGUACCAAAGAAUGCUGAUACUUCUGAGCAUGGGAGUGAGACAUGGGUCAUUUGUAAAAAUAGCAGAAACCAUGUCUGUAACUUCAGCAACAUUCAAUUCUUGUAUUUAAAAGGGCCCUCCGAGGCUGCAGGUUUCACGCACGUACCCCGGCUUUCAAAGGGAACAUGGGAAAAUAAGCUCAUUGUGUCGGAAGGCCUUGAAAGCGAAAGGAGGCUUGCAGCAGGACGGGAGGAGGGGAAGAGCUGGAGCCCAGCUUGAAAACGCAUGGAGAGAAAUCGAAAACAAACACAUACCUACCCCCAACACGCACAGGCGCACACAUGCAAGGCCUAAACUCUGACUGAACUCUGAAAUCGGAGACUGAGCUGGUUUGGGAGCCUCUGCUCACUUUUCUCCGUUUUUUUUUUUUUUUUUUUUUUAAAGAAAAAAAGUUUGUUGGUUUGCUUUCAAUUACCUCCUCCUCUAUAAGGAGGAAAAGAAAAUCAGCGAAGCUGUGUGUUAUGUGCAUGCACAUGUGCAUAUGUGUGUGUCUCCCAGACAGCUGGGGAAGAGUGAGCUGUCAAAAGCCCAGUCCAGCCUCUUCUUGUUCCUGUUCUUCUACAGAAGGGACUGUGACACACUAUUAAAACAAAGAGAAGAAAGAUGCUCUGGGAGACAUCCUGGAGGAUUCAGAGUUGCUGAUGCACAGUAUGCCCUGGUCAGGUGAUGUGGUCCCAGUUCUCCGCUCAUGCUGUCCCUCCACUCCCAGUGCUGCUGUACCUGCCUCAAGUCUGCUCUGCCACUGUCUGGGGUUGUUUGCUCAUCCAUUUAUUCAUAAAUCAAGAGUCAAUAAACACUUUCACCUUCUUCAUGCUUCACGGAUAGUAGAACUUCUGCUCGACUUCUUGACUCUCUCCAUAUAUCAAGGCUUGAUAGCUGAAUUUCCCUACUUGCUGCCUACUGCUGACAUUUUUCUCUUGCAGCUCUCACCCUGCCCCUGCUUUCUUUCCUUUCUUUCCUUAAACCCAGUCGACAGCACUACCUUUCUGGGCUGUGCCCUUUGGCUGCAGGGGCAGUGAACCCAGUUCCCAAGAGGAAGCUUCAUGCCCCAAAAUGCAGGUUAGGUAAUUUAGCACUUCUGUGAACCAAGUAUUGUCUUUUCAAAAUAUUUUUAAAAGAGAACUUGUUCACCAAAGAACAAAAGACCAGGAAGGUUUAUAACUCCUAACAGAAAACAUCUGCUUGAACAUAAAGCUGGGAAUGUAUUGAUAUUUUCAAUUUGGGCUCAGGAGAGUCAGAAGCAAGAAUACCAGCCUGCAGGCUGCUGCUCAGACUUAUCUUUCUGUUAAUGAAACAGUUUUUGCAAGAGACAUGUUGUCACAACAUUAAAGAAAACCCAACAAAAUACUUCCAGAAGACUCCAUUAUAUGCUUAAUGAAGCUUAAUGUUUCCCUCUCACACUCCAGACUACAAGGACAGGCUGCAACCCCACACGAAAUACUGCUUGCCAUUAUAGAUCAAUCAGAGGGAAGAGAAAUAAAGAGUUGAUUCUGUAGUUGUUCUUUAUUAAUAAUUUUAAACUGAAGUUAUAUAGUAAAAUACCCACCACUGAUUCUUUAAAAACAAACUCCACCAAAACCCAGACCUGUGAAUUUUGAUCAUUAUGGGAAUUUUUGCGUCUCCUCUCUUGAAAGUAACAUGACCCAUGGCCCAUUUUUCAAGCUAGAUUUCAUUCCUCUCCAGUCAGCUGUCAGGAAACCACAGAAGGUGCCUGAAAGAGCACAAGAAAUGGCUGGUUCUAAUCUGAAGGAAAAAAAAAAAGUUGAGGAACAAGGCAGCUACUUGUGGCAGAAUGUUAUUUUUUCUUCAGUCUCUGCCUGCAUAUUUUCACAACAUGUGUACCCUGUUACCCCGUCACUUCCCUCUUUUCCUUGGGUAAAUAUCUCUGCUUUGGAAUAAAAGAAGGCCCAGGGGUGCUACUUGUAAGGACCGCGCUCGCCUUGAUAUGUUGUUUUUGAACUGAACACAUACAAUGGACACAUUUCAAACUUGGACCUUUGCCACCAUAGAUGUUGCUUUUAGUUUAACCUUCUCAGAUGAUGGAGGGAGGCUGGAGGUAAGGAGGAGGCUGGGAGUGGGGUCAUACACUCCAUCCUUUACCAGAUGUGGGAUCUCGUGGGAGCCAGGCCCGAUAGCCCACACAAACCCCUCUAAGCACAUACCAGGAAUGCAAAAUGUCCCUCUUCAAGUGCCGAGUAUUCAUAAAAUCAAACACAAACCCCAGGGAGAAAUGGAUGACUAGGCCAUACCUUUGCCAUCAAGCUGCUUAGAUUGAAAAAAAAAAAAAAUAGGUGGUGUGAUUAAUACUUUAUUUUUUUUAAAGAAAUAAUUUGUUUACAGGUUAUUUGUGAAGAAGGGAAUAAAUUCAAAUAUUUUCCCCCCAUCUUCGCCCUGUAAACUGCAUGCCCUGUGAAAUGCACUGUUUCAUGUAUGUGACUUAACCUGACAUUCACAAUCCAACAGAUGGACUGGACUAGAUUAGACAUCUGUUCUGUAUAAGAAUUAGAUACAGAAUUGGGACCUAGGAAAUUCUGGAUUAAACUGGCUCAAAGACCAAGCCACGCGCAAAUACUAACCCAGUUAAAGACACUGGGUAAGAUACACUUUUCAACAUAAUUGUCAUGUAUUAAAUGCCAAUGCAGCAAGAGUUAGGGGAAGGACAAAAGUUGGCAGUGGGCUCGCCCUGUGAAGUCACAUGCCAGGCUGCUUGCAAGGGGUCCGUGAACAAGCCUGAACCCUUGAAAGCUGCCAUGUGUACUAAGCAACUCGGAGCUGGGAAGAGCUGCCAGUGAGGCUGAGGGUAGUGCUCAAGCAAAAUGAAUUUGGGAACAAAACAAACUAUUGAGCAGUUCCUGAAAGGCACUGGGGAGAUCAGGAAGAGUUGAGAAUUCUUUCCACUAGACAGCAUUGAGUCCAGCUCUGCAAACCAUUUUUGAACAUGUAUUCUACAUGCAUGGGCUCACUUAAGUUGAUAACAUAUCCAGCCUCAUUUGAUCACAAACCUGGCAGCAGAUCACCUGAAGAGUCAUACUUCAGUGCUUGGUCUUUACUAACCAUUUCUUCCUCAUUGAUCUCUCCAAUUAACUGAAUCUGAUCCCUUCUCCUUCUUCCAGAACUAAAACAGCUACUAAGGUCUUCUCUUCCCCAUCAUUACACUGUAAUUUCUUUCCUCGAAUGUCCCCUUUUCAUUCUUUCUUUUCUCCUUAAUCUCCCUGACAUCCUUCACUAGCCCUGAACAUGUUUUCCCUCCCUACCCAUUCACUUACCAUGAUGCUAUCCUAUCCUCAGCUCUACAGCUCUAAGGAGUAGCCAACCCCUUGCAUAGAGCACAGAUAAAUUACAAACUUUAUGGCUGCCCACAUGGUUACCCUUCCCUUUCUUCCAGUAAAUCCCAUCCAAAGGACCAUUUCUCCCUCAAAACCAGCAAGUAAUUUGCCAGCAUGCAAUGGAAAAGAUUGGGUAGAUGAUAUUUAAUUAUCUAUUUACAUCUUAGGGGUGUUCUUCCAGAACCUAAGUAUUAGACAGCUUUAACCUUGAAAACCACUGAAGCUCCUUGAAAACCAUACUGGCACACUGUGAUUCUCAUGUCACACGUUAUGCUCCCCUUCCCAACAGCGCACCUCAUCUAGAGCAUGAGCAGUGAGGUAGCUGAGGAAGAAGGUGCUGUUAGAGAAAUGCUAUAAAUGGGCAUAUACUGGAGCAACCACUAGCAUGCGUUCCAUGUACGGAGAUUGAGCCAGUCCCUUGGGUAGUACUGAGACAAGGGGAAUGAAAAUAAUCUUUAUCAUUCACUUUUUGCGGUGUGGAUGGAUAUAGUGGACAUAUUCUAAAUCUAGUUUUUGUGUAUCAAACCAGAAGUAAAAAUAGAAAACUCCGUCACUGUUCGGUUGUUCGAGAAAUCAACAUUUUCCUCUCAGAAAAGAAACACUAAUGAAAAUAGCCUGUAAUUUGGAACCUAGCAAGCCCUAGGGCAUUUUAGACUCCAGAAACCUGAAAGUCCAAAAUAGCUCCACAUUGGACCAUAUUUUCGGAAAUUGCGGAUUUAUAUGUAUACACAGACCUAUGAUCUGUGAAAACUCCAAGAGAGGUUAGGAAUACAAUAAACUUAAAUUUCUGCAGCUCCUUUACUAACCAACUGAACUAACUACCUUAUUUAAGUUGGUGUCAGGUUUUUAUCCACUACUAAGAUUCAAACAGCUCUGGAGUAAAACAUAGCAGUACUUUGUAGGAUCCAAGCAGUGUUAAGCUGCAGUAAAAAAUAUAUAAAGGAAUCUAAUAACAUUACAGGAGGAGAAUUUAGGUCCUACGUAAGGUAAAUGAAUGUCAGAUACUUUUUGGCAUGGAAGGGCCAACAGAGUUUUCACCUAUAGUACAUGUGCUGUGUCCCCAGUGCUACAGGAGCCAGGUCUGUGCUGUGACAAACAGCAUCUUUCCUUGGUCUAGUGCAGGAGAAGUCCCCUGUUCCGCGGGGUACCCUUGGAAAAACAGUUACUAUGGAAAGGUGCAGAAAGCUGCCUGGAGUGUGGGCAAAUUAGCCAGUACCCCUGGCACUGCUGGAAUCCCCUCAGGCAGCUUAUCAGGUGAAGUGACAGCAGGACCAAGGCUCCAUUUCAGACACUGCUGCCACUCAGCCCAGCAGCUGGGCAGCAGUCCUCACCAACUGACUCUGCAGUGGAAGACUUAAGAGGAGACGUAAGAAAUAAAAAGGCGCAAGACCUGCCAAAUCGCAAAACCUUGUAACAUGAUACUAGCAAUGGUAUGUAUGCAAGAAAACAGAACACCACCACAGACAGCUAAAAAAAGGUGUUGCCACGACCUGAUAACUUCAUAUAAAAUGAUACGGGCCCUGCUGCUGUCUGCCCCAUGAAGAAAAAGAGGACUCAUAUAUUCAACUCUACACUAGUUCCUUUCUCUCUUUUACAUACAAUGUCUAGGUUUCAACUUGAAUAAGUUCACCCUGCGAAGUGGCAGAACACCAGAGUCAUCUAAUGAGCCUCUGAAAUCCACUGCUGCUUACUAGGGAGGCCAAGAUUUCAAGACAUAAAAGAUGUGCAUGUGCGUGGCUAAGUGGCAUCUUCUAGUACAGAUGACCUAAACAAGUAUGUGCUAUGUUCAGCUUCAAUGAAACUGCAAGUAGGUAAGAACAGCCCAGAACCUGUACUGACUGAUAUACCAGGAACAGAAUUACUAGCUAAUAAUUUGUAAUCCAAAAUAGAAAUGAUAUCAAAUCUUGUGACUUGCACCCUUAACCAAGUAGAUCUAGAGCUUUUUUACUGUUAUUCUUCUUUUUGACAGUAUCGCUUCACUCACUUUAAAUAGUAUAUUGAAUUAGGAAAGCAACAGCAAGUCCUUAAACAGAUUAGACAAGCAGGCAGUAAAACUUCCAACAUUUUGUGGUGCUCAGAUCCAGGCUUCUGCCUCUCUGUUUAAGAUGUCUACAAAAUAGAGACCUGCUGUCAGACUGGAUUUUGUAAUCACAAUUCAGGUUCAUCACAGAGUCACACUGUACAGCAUGGCAGUACAUUACGUGACAUUGUAUUGCAAUGAGAAGGCGACUGAGGCUUUUUUUGGGGUUUGGACUCCACGCUCUGCACCGCACAGAUCAUACUGAAGCAAUGAAAGGAGGAGACUGAAGGCUGACUUUCCUUGCUAAAUCUCUGGCCAAUCUUGCUUUCCAACCAUCAAAUUUCAUUUCCCUAGUCUGCAAGUGGAAAUAAAAGAAUGAGAGAACAACUGUAUUCUUUUCAUCCCUCAACAUUUCAAAUUCAUAAAAGCAAAUAAGUUUUCUUGGUGGCACCCUUGGGCAGCCUGGAGUUCCCCCCCGGCAAUAUCAGAGAAGCAGUUCUGCCUUCACUAGGGUGUCCUUCAAAUCCUUCUGUGCUUGCACUGAGGCCAUGAGAUGCAAAGAUACCAGGGAAACAGAGCUGCGAUUUACACUGAC